GUGAAUCAUCAAAUCUUUGAACGCAAAUUGCGCUUCCUGGCAUUCCGGGAAGUAUGCCUGUUUGAGGGUCAGUAUUAAUAAAAAAUCGGUUUAGUUACAAAUUGUGACGUUUCGGGAGUGUGGGUUAUCUUAAUAUUUUUGGUUCAGAGGUUUAAAAUUGAUCUUUUUUGCGCAUUUUUAAACGUAAAUAAAUUUUUUUUAUUCGUGUAUUAUUAAUGUCAAAAUUUUAUUAGAUGCGAUCAAAUUGUGUGGUUUCGUGUCCAUAAAAUUAUC
rnacentral:misc_RNA from 1 species